rnacentral:rRNA from 1 species
CAAUCUCAGUUCAGACUGUAGGCUGCAACUCGCCUGCACGAAGUCGGAAUUGCUAGUAAUCGUAGGUCAGCAUACUACGGUGAAUACGUUCCCGGGCCUUGUACACACCGCCCGUCAAACCAUGAGAGUUGGCAACACCCGAAGUCGGUAGUCUAACCGCAAGGAGGACGCCGCCGAAGGUGGGGUUGAUGAUUAGGGUUAAGUCGUAACAAGGUAGC